rnacentral:lncRNA from 1 species
CUGUAUUUCCGCCGGCGCGAAACGAGCGUAGCUUCCUUGUCGUGUGGCCUCAGUCCUUCGCCGUCCCUCGCCGUCCUUCGCCAUCGCACGCCACCGCACCCCAUCUCUCGAAAUCUGCAGACAUCUUGAUUUUUCCCACGCUGUCUGUCAGGUCUCCGCCGCCACUCGACGCCAGGGCGCCGGGCCUUGUGGGCUGUGCUGCACCUCGGACGGCUUCGCACCAGCCAGCGCCCUCUCUCUCCUGCAGCACUCUGAUCUGCACCCCCUGAGGGGCUUCCACUGUCCGCGGGGUGAGAAUGCCCCUGGGAGUGUCACAUGACUGCCGCCCCAUGUGUGUGAGAGGCGUCCUCUGGGAGAGCAUGGAUCCUGAGGUCCCAGGAACAUCCCGAGAGCCAAGUUCCCAGAUGCCAGCCAAGGGCCAUCUGACCUGUUUUGAAUCUCAAUUUCCUGAUACAGAAAACAAAGGAUUGUCAGCUGACCUCUGUCCUGUGUGCCCAGUGGCCCCAGGUGACGUGUCUUCAAGAAGAGGCUGAGCUGCGGUGCUUGUAAGGUCUCAGCCUUAGAUCCAAGGACAGUCCAAGGAAGUCCUAAGACCAUGGAGUUGGUGAUCUGGGAUCUGGGUUUGCUGAUAUUUCUCACCGUGAAUCUCUUGGUGGUGUUUGUGGGCACGAGAGGGGCAGAGAAUGGAGAGUGAGGCUACCACAUGAAGCGUCACCAGAGCUGCUCCCUGCUGCCUGCUCAGAGCACCCCGGAUCCACUGUUCAAUCUGCACAAGAUUCGGGGUCCAGACAUGGGAGACUUCAGCUGCCUCAGAGGACCGUGGACAGGGAAGGCCAGCCUCGCAUCCCUCUGUCCAUGCCUGGAAUGACUUUAAUAACCAAGAGUUUUAUUUUUGAAUUUGUAGCUGUCGUUCACUUUUUACCCACCCAUUCAAUAAACCUUACAGAAUUGCU